rnacentral:lncRNA from 1 species
GUGUGUCUGUUGAAUAAUCAGCUUUCUCUAUAUAUAGUAGGGGAGUUUUACCCUAAGUACAGUUCUAAGAAAGGUAAAAAAAUUUCUUUUCGCUAAUCACUGAUCUGCUACCGAUAUGGGUCGAGAUUCACGCUGUGAUAUCCGGUUGGGCACGGAUAUCAAGUCUCUUUGUUAAUCAUGCGCGGUCAUUUGGUAAUGCUUUCCGAGGUCUUGGAACUCGAACCGGAUCCGGGGGGCGUGGUCUCGAUGACUCUGAGGGCAGGUGUUUUGUUCGGGCCUUGAUACGAGAUGCUCCUGGCUUCGAUUCUGAUUCCUUAUAGUUACGUCAUUGCUUCGUUUGCCCCACUGAGAAAUUGAGGUGCUUAUUAGCCUCUGUUUUACCGUAUACACUACCUUAAUUACAUAAAAGUAAGUACUUCUAGAGUUAAUUAGUUUGGUCUUUUUAUGUGGUACUUCCUCCGUUUUAUUUUACAUUAAUUGUGUGAAUGUGUUUGUAUGAGCAUGGAGUUUAAGGAGUUUAAGGGGAAAAAAAAGAAACUCAGUAAAAUGAGUAAAUUAACAAAGAGAAGCAACAAAAUUAUGGAGGGCAAGAGAAAAAUAAAGAAUAGAAGCAAAUAAACCAAACGAAAGAUACAAAUUAUGAAACAUAGAGUAGUGACAAGAGGGGGCAAGGACACGAAGCGGUCUUCAGUCUUCUUGAUGCAAGGAAGAGGCAUUGCCUUUAUUGAAAAGAAAGAAAACUACGGUAUGUGAAGUUACAUGUCUAGACACUAUACAACUUGGUGUAACUAACGAUGACAAUAAUGAGAAAUUACAGAGCAGCCAGAGCAACCAUGACUUCGGCAAUCUCCAUUAUUGUUACAGCGCAUUCGAUAGCAUGCUGGUGGGCGCAGCUUGCUUGUCACUAGUUCUAUUAAUGUUGCCGCUUCUUCUGCAAGUACCUCUUCUUCCAUGGCUUCUGCUAAUUCUAUUCUUCGGCACGAUGCAACUGCAAUAGAGUUUUCAUUAACCAUCAAUUUUACACUCGUAAAUUAAUAUAUCUAUGGUAAGGACAUUAAGAAACAUUUAUACACAUAUAGAUUAGUUAAUUGGUAUCACACAAUCUACUAAGAACUUAUUGAAAACAAACCGAGAGAGAACUAACCAAUGGCAAACAAGAGGAGGAGGAGAGUAAAAAGAGCAAGAGGAGUUGACCACUUGGAUGCCAUGUUUCUAGUCUGUGUAAAUGCGCUUAGAGGUCCUCCUCCGGACUUUAUAGUAUAAUAGUUUAUGUAUAAGUUGGAUCAAAGUUGUGUUUUUUUGGGGGGGAGAGGGGGACGGGGGGCGCA